UGCAUGCCCGACCCCCAAGCACUG
rnacentral:piRNA from 1 species